AUUCAUUUAGCAAGGUGUAAAUAACGAGAUGACUGAGCUGCCAAGUCUACAUUCCUGCUUAUAUAUGCAAGCUGAGAACGAAAGAAUAACAGCUAAGUAUAAACGACUGAAAGGAAGAUAUAAUGAGCUGUUAGUUCAGACUACAAAUAACAAGGACAUAGCUGUGAGGAUAACUAGUUCCAGUGGAGACCUUGAGGAAAAGUCCACGCAAACAAUCUUAUCACGUGACCUGCAGGAGAGCACUCAGGAGAAACACUCCACAAAACUACUCCACACUCACUCUCUUCUA